rnacentral:tRNA from 3 species
CGGGGCGUGGCGCAGCUUGGUAGCGCGCUUGGUUCGGGACCAAGAGGUCGCUGGUUCAAAUCCAGUCGCCCCGACCA